rnacentral:rRNA from 1 species
CCUACGGGAGGCAGCAGUGAGGAAUAUUGGUCAAUGGGCGGGAGCCUGAACCAGCCAAGCCGCGUGAGGGAAGAAGGUACAGCGUAUCGUAAACCUCUUUUGUCAGGGAACAAAGGCGGGGACUAGUCCCCGGAUGAGGGUACCUGAAGAAAAAGCAUCGGCUAACUCCGUGCCAGCAGCCGCGGUAAUACGGAGGAUGCGAGCGUUAUCCGGUGUUAUGGGGUUUAAAGGGUGCGCAGGCGGCCUGUUAAGUCAGCGGUAAAAGCCCGGGGCUCAACCCCGGCGAGCCGUUGAAACUGGCGGGCUGGAGUUGGAGAGAAGGACGCGGAAUGCGCGGUGUAGCGGUGAAAUGCUUAGAUAUCGCGCAGAACCCCGAUUGCGAAGGCAGCGUACCGGCUCCACACUGACGCUGAGGCACGAAAGCGUGGGUAUCGAACAGGAUUAGAUACCCCAGUAGUC